rnacentral:rRNA from 1 species
UACGGAAGGCAGCAGUGGGGAAUCUUGCGCAAUGGGCGAAAGCCUGACGCAGCCAUGCCGCGUGAAUGAUGAAGGUCUUAGGAUUGUAAAUUCUUUCACCGGGGACGAUAAUGACGGUACCCGGAGAAGAAGCCCCGGCUAACUUCGUGCCAGCAGCCGCGGUAAUACGAAGGGGCUAGCGUUGCUCGGAAUUACUGGGCGUAAAGGGCGCGUAGGCGGAUCGUUAAGUCAGAGGUGAAAUCCAGGGCUCAACCCUGGAACUGCCUUUGAUACUGGCGAUCUUGAGUAUGAGAGAGGUAUGUGGAACUCCGAGUGUAGAGGUGAAAUUCGUAGAUAUUCGGAAGAACACCAGUGGCGAAGGCGACAUACUGGCUCAUUACUGACGCUGAGGCGCGAAAGCGUGGGGAGCAAACAGGGAUUAGAUACCCGU